UACGGAGGGUGCAAGCGUUAUCCGGAUUCACUGGGUUUAAAGGGUGCGUAGGAGGGCAGGUAAGUCAGUGGUGAAAUCCUAGAGCUUAACUCUAGAACUGCCGUUGAUACUAUCUGUCUUGAAUACCGUUGAGGUGAGCGGAAUAUGUCAUGUAGCGGUGAAAUGCUUAGAUAUGACAUAGAACACCAAUUGCGAAGGCAGCUCGCUAAACGAAUAUUGACUCUGAGGCACGAAAGCGUGGGGAUCAAACAGG
rnacentral:rRNA from 2 species